rnacentral:rRNA from 1 species
AGUGAACGCUGGCGGUAGGCCUAACACAUGCAAGUCGAACGGCAGCACAGUAAGAGCUUGCUCUUACGGGUGGCGAGUGGCGGACGGGUGAGGAAUACAUCGGAAUCUACUUUUUCGUGGGGGAUAACGUAUGGAAACUUACUCUAAUACCGCAUACGACCUACGGGUGAAAGCAGGGGAUCUUCGGACCUUGCGCGAUUGAAUGAGCCGAUGUCGUAUUAGCUAGUUGGCGGGGUAAAGGCCCACCAAGGCGACGAUCCGUAGCUGGUCUGAGAGGAUGAUCAGCCACAAUGGAAAUGAGACACGGUCCAGACUCCUACGGGAGGCAGCAGUGGGGAAUAUUGGACAAUGGGAGCAAGCCUGAUCCAGCCAUACCGCGUGGGUGAAGAAGGCCUUCGGGUUGUAAAGCCCUUUUGUUGGGAAAGAAAAGCAGCAGGUUAAUACCCCGCUGUUCUGACGGUACCCAAAGAAUAAGCACCGGCUAAAUUCGUG